rnacentral:lncRNA from 1 species
UGUUAUCUACUGCGUCACCUGCUCUCGUCUUCUUUAUUCCUGUCCAUACCUUUUUCCCCUUGAAAACAUUGUUAGUAUUGUUGUUUGAAAGCUUUUCUUCACAUAGGUGCUGAAUCUAGGAUCAUCAUUUUUUUUAAUAAUCAAGAUCAAAGACAGCAGAGCCAGUACUGGGCACCGUACUGGUUGUCCGGCAGAACGAG